AAAUAGGUGAUGGGGAUUAAGGAGUGCACUUGUGAUGAGCACUGUGUGUUAUAUGUAAGUCCUGAAUCACUAAACUGUAUACCUGCAAUUAAUAUUACACUGUAUGUUAGCUAACUAGAA